AUCUUCAACCGCGCUUUUCUUCAGAAUCAUCUGAGCACCCGUCCAUCGCACGAAGACCUAGGCCUCAAUGACGCGUGGGUCUAGAAACCUAAUACCGCGUCGCGGUCCCAUCUGCCAUAGACCUACUCAAAACCCCACACCACACCGUCUGGUCGUCCAUGGAGAAAACUCGUUGAGCAGAUUCCUUGUUCCUGCAGUAACCCUGUCCAACCCCCGCAGCGGCGGCAACCACAGAAACACUGCCUGUAAAUUCCAUUCCUCCGCGUUCGGCCUCCCUCAUCGCGCGACCGUUCCCUCUGCUCGAAUCGGCAAGCCCGCAUUUCGAGCCCCGGAGGUGGCCGCGAACCCUAACCCUACAGCGAGGCGUCGCCGGAGUUGUGGGGGCUCCGUUGGCCAUGUCGAUGGACUCGGACAGCUCGUCGCACAGCGGCGCCGACUACAGGAGUUUCCGCCAGAUCACCCGAGACCGUUUGUUAGUUGAAAUGCUGAGAUCGACUCGAAAGAGCUCAAAAUCAUCAUGGAAGGUUCUAAUCAUGGACAAACUUACUGUCAAGAUAAUGUCAUUUUCAUGCAAGAUGGCAGAUAUCACAGAAGAAGGGGUUUCAUUGGUUGAAGACCUAUACAAACGGAGGCAGCCAUUGCCUUCAAUGGAUGCAAUUUAUUUUAUGCAGCCUACUAAAGAAAAUGUUGACAUAUUCAUGUCGGACAUGUCAGGAAAAAAUUCAUUGUACAAGAAAGCUUAUGUAUUUUUCAGUUCUCCUGUACAGAGGGAGUUGGUAGCUCAUAUAAAAAAGGAUUCGACUGUGCUAACACGCAUCAGUGCACUUAGUGAGAUGAACUUAGAAUACUUUGCUAUUGACAGUCAGGGCUUCAUAACUGACCAUGACAAGGCCUUGGAGGAGUUGUUUAGUGAAGAUGCAGAAGGCUCACACAAGUACAAUGCAUGCCUUAACACAAUGGCUACAAGAAUUGCUACAGUGUUUGCAUCAUUGAGGGAAUUUCCUCGUGUGCACUAUCGUGUAGCCAGGACAAUCGAUGCAUCUACUCUGACGACACUACGAGAUUUGGUCCCAACAAAGCUUGCUGCUUCCCUGUGGAAUUCCCUUGUCAGAUUUAAGUCAACGAUACCUGAAUUUCCACAAACAGAAACAUGUGAACUACUUAUUGUUGACCGGUCAAUAGAUCAGAUUGCACCAAUUAUUCAUGAGUGGACGUAUGAUGCUAUGUGCCAUGAUCUAUUGUGUAUGGAUGGCAACAAGUACGUGCAAGAGGUUCCAAGUAAGAAUGGUUCAGCAAAUGAGAAAAAGGAGGUUUUGUUGGAGGAUCAUGAUCCAGUAUGGCUUGAGCUGCGGCAUGCACAUAUAGCUCAUGUUAAUGAAACGCUACAUGAAAAGAUGACCAGUUUUGUAUCAAAGAACAAAGCAGCUCAACUACAGCAGGCAAGAUCUGGUGGAGAGUUAUCUACCAAGCAGUUGCAGAAAAUGGUUCAAGCUCUUCCACAAUACAGUGAUCAAAUUGACAAGCUCACCCUUCAUGUUGAGAUUGCAGGAAAACUCAAUAACAUAAUCAAAGAACACCACCUUAAAGAUGUUGGACAGCUAGAGCAAGAUCUUGUGUUUGGUGAUGCUGGGACAAAAGAACUAAUCAGUUUCUUACGAACCCGCAUGGAUGUAAGUCGUGAACAUAAGCUGCGUUUGCUGAUGAUUUAUGCUUCCAUAAACCCAGAGAAAUUUUUCGAAAGUGAGAAAGGUGCAAAGCUGAUGCAGCUUGCAGGAUUAUCUGCUGAUGAUAUGAUUGUAGUAAAUAAUAUGCGCUGCUUACGUGGAGCUGAUUCUAAGAAGUCUUCAGUUGGGGCUUUUACUUUGAAAUUUGAUCUUCAGAAGAAAAAGCCUGGUAUCAGGAAGGAGCGGACUGGAGAAGAGUCAACAUGGAUGCUAUCUCGAUUUUAUCCCAUCCUGGAGGACUUGAUUGAGAAACUUAGUAAGGGUGAGCUACCAAAAGAUGAGUACCACUGCAUGAAUGAUCCUAGUCCUAGUUUCCGUGGAAUUCCAGGGAGCACAUCUGCUCGAACGAGCCCAGCUCAUCAGCCAGCCCAAUCCAUGAGAUCUAGACGAAUAGGUGGCACAUGGGCUAGACCUCGGAACUCCGAUGAUGGUUAUUCGAGCGGUAGAGCCUACCGUCUGUAACCGGAAGGUCCCGGGUUCGAGCUCCAGCCUCUGCAUAUUAUGCGGUGACUCUGUACUGAAGCAUGCAUCAAGUGACUUCAGAAAGUUGGGCCAGCGCCUAUUUAUCUUUGUAAUUGGAGGUGCUACUCGGUCUGAGUUGCGUGUUGCCCAUAAGCUGUCAGGCAAACUGAAGAGAGAAAUUAUCCUUGGCUCCUCUAGUCUUGAUGACCCACCGCAGUUCAUCACUAAACUGAAGAUGUUAUCAACCGAGGAACUGUCGCUUGAUGAUUUGCAAAUAUAACAAUUCCAAGGACGAUUGUCCGUGGCAUUCUACACUGUAAUUAUUUAUUUAUUUGCAUCUCUACAACGGGUUUAGUUUUACUCCCUUAACCGAACCACAGGUGCUCUUACACAGGCUAGAGGGGCAUGAUAUUCAUUCGGUAGCCAAUGUCAGUUACAAUCGAGUGUACACACAUGGCAGCGACCAGAGACUGUAAUAUAGGUGGCGUCUUUAUUAGAUUGGUGGAUCAGUGAAGUUCAAUGUUCCGAGGACUUCUAUUUGUCCUCAGAUUGCUGCUAUUUUGUGGGGAAAGUGUAUAUUUUUUCCUCAAA